UACGUAGGGUGCGAGCGUUGUCCGGAAUUAUUGGGCGUAAAGAGCUUGUAGGCGGUUUGUCGCGUCUGCUGUGAAAAUCCGGGGCUCAACCCCGGACUUGCAGUGGGUACGGGGCAGACUAGAGUGUGGUAGGGGAGACUGGAAUUCCUGGUGUAGCGGUGGAAUGCGCAGAUAUCAGGAGGAACACCGAUGGCGAAGGCAGGUCUCUGGGCCAUUACUGACGCUGAGAAGCGAAAGCAUGGGGGAGCGAACAGG
rnacentral:rRNA from 1 species